GUUGCCCUCCACUUUUAAGGCCGACUGACUUCUUCGGCUUGGACGAAGGAAGUAGUCAUGCUAAUCUAUUGAGCCGACUCAUUGAGCCAAGCUACCGGGAUCACCUUCUCGAGCUACUUCUGGAGUCUUCUAAGGAGUUCUGGAUGUAGCAUUUAUUAUCUACUAACUUCUGACAACCUUCCCGAGACAUCAUCCGCAUAGUUGCCCGAGAUCAAAUGCCAUGGCGAUGCAGCGUUAAAGAUCAUACCGAGCAGUUGAGCGGUUGGAUCAGUUCAAGCCAUCCAAGCUUCUACAUAAGAAGCUGGCGCUCAGUGGUCCUGCAUCUUUCCUUCCUCUAGGUAUUAAUAGAUACCUUCUUUGAUCUUCUUCUUUCUUUUCCUCUCGGCUCUCUCUGCCAUUUUCCUGCUUCAUGUUUCCGGAAACAUUUUCCAUGAUGAUAUUCACAGUGUAACAGGUUUAUCCACUUGAGGGCUUCAUCAAAAAAAAAAAAAAAAAACACCCGUGACGAGCAUGCUGAUUAGCAUUUAACGAGCGUGCUAGAAUGUUCAAUUCACUAGAAUCUGUAACUUCCAAUAAUGUUCCAAAAUAGUUUUAUAAUCUGCUGAAAUAAAAAUCCAAGACUUAACAAGA